UACGGGGGGGGCAAGCGUUGUUCGGAAUUACUGGGCGUAAAGGGCUCGUAGGUGGCCAACUAAGUCAGACGUGAAAUCCCCUCGGCUUAACCGGGGGAACUGCGUCUGAUACUGGAUGGCUUGAGUUUGGGAGAGGGACGCGGAAUUCCAGGUGUAGCGGUGAAAUGCGCAGAUAUCAGGAGGAACACCAAUUGCGAAGGCAGCUCGCUGGGACGUUACUGACGCUGGAGACGCGAAAGCGUGGGGAGCAAACAGG
rnacentral:rRNA from 1 species